UGGGGAAUUUUGGACAAUGGGCGAAAGCCUGAUCCAGCAAUGCCGCGUGUGUGAAGAAGGCCUUCGGGUUGUAAAGCACUUUUGUCCGGAAAGAAAUCCUUGGCUCUAAUACAGUCGGGGGAUGACGGUACCGGAAGAAUAAGCACCGGCUAACUACGUGCCAGCAGCCGCGGUAAUACGUAGGGUGCAAGCGUUAAUCGGAAUUACUGGGCGUAAAGCGUGCGCAGGCGGCUUGCUAAGACCGAUGUGAAAUCCCCGGGCUCAACCUGGGAACUGCAUUGGUGACUGGCAGGCUAGAGUAUGGCAGAGGGGGGUAGAAUUCCACGUGUAGCAGUGAAAUGCGUAGAGAUGUGGAGGAAUACCGAUGGCGAAGGCAGCCCCCUGGGCCAAUACUGACGCUCAUGCACGAAAGCGUGGGGAGCAAACAGGAUUAGAUACCCUGGUAGUCCACGCCCUAAACGAUGUCAACUAGUUGUUGGGGAUUCAUUUCCUUAGUAACGUAGCUAACGCGUGAAGUUGACCGCCUGGGGAGUACGGUCGCAAGAUUAAAACUUAAAUGAAUUGACGGGGUCAUAGCUGUUUCCU
rnacentral:rRNA from 1 species